AUUGAACGCUGGCGGCAGGCCUAACACAUGCAAGUCGAACGAGUGGCGGACGGGUGUGUAAUGUCUGGGAAACUGCGAGAUGGAGGGGGAUAACUACUGGAAACGGUAGAUAAUACCGUAUACCAUCGGAUGUGCCUAGAGGGGAUUAGCUAGUAGGUGGGGUAACGGCUCACCUAGGCGACGAUCCCUAGCUGGUCUGAGAGGAUGACCAGCCACACUGGGACUGAGACACGGCCCAGACUCCUACGGGAGGCAGCAGUGGGGAAUAUUGCACAAUGGGCGCAAGCCUGAUGCAGCCAUGCCGCGUGUAUGAAGAAGGCCUUAGGGUUGUAAAGUACUUUCAGCGAGGAGGCGUUACUCGCAGAAGAAGCACCGGCUAACUCCGUGCCAGCAGCCGCGGUAAUAC
rnacentral:rRNA from 1 species